AUUGAACGCUGGCGGCAGGCCUAACACAUGCAAGUCGAACGAGAGGCGGACGUGUGAGUUAGGACUGGGCAAGGGCGUGAUGGAGGGGGACAAGUACCGGAAACGGUAGCUAAUACCGCAUAGCAUCGGAUAUGCCGAGAUGGGUUUAGCUUGUGGGUGGGGUAACGGCUGACCAAGGCGACGAUCCCUAGCUGGUCUGAGAGGAUGACCAGCCACACUGGAACUGAGACACGGUCCAGACUCCUACGGGAGGCAGCAGUGGGGAAUAUUGCACAAUGGGCGCAAGCCUGAUGCAGCCAUGCCGCGUGUGUGAAGAAGGCCUUCGGGUUGUAAAGUACUUUCAGCUGGGAGGCGUUACCCACAGAAGAAGCACCGGCUAACUCCGUGCCAGCAGCCGCGGUAAUAC
rnacentral:rRNA from 1 species